rnacentral:misc_RNA from 1 species
GAUGAAGAACGUAGCGAAAUGGGAUAAGUAAUGUGAAUUGCAGAAUUCAGUGAAUCAUCGAAUCUUUGAACGCACAUUGCGCCCCCUGGUAUUCCGGGGGGCAUGCCUGUCCGAGCGUCAUUACAACCCUCAAGCUCAGCUUGGUAUUGGGCCCCGCCGACCCGGCGGGCCCUAAAGUCAGUGGCGGUGCCGUCCGGCUCCGAGCGUAGUAAUUCUUCUCGCUCUGGAGGUCCGGUCGUGUGCUCGCCAGCAACCCCCAAUUUUUUUCAGGUUGACCUCGGAUCAGGAAGGGAUACCCGCUGAACUUAAGCAUAUCAAUAAGCGGAGGA